UGAAUGCGAGUAUGUAAAGUCUAGAGCUUUUUCAUAAGAUCUCAUAUGCUGCAGAAUCCCACUGUGUGGAAAAAACAGAGCGACAAAAUACCAGUGGACGGCUUAAUGGAGACGACCGUAAGCUGUUGCCUUCAAACACAAAGAAGCACUUAGAGAGUGGCGGGCUGCUCCUCUGGGUGCAGAGAAGAGAGACGACUCGAGGCGCCAUGAAGUCACAUCAGGGCGACUGGCUGGUGACAGGAAAACUACAGCCAUUAAAUGGUUGUUUAUUUGACUCCUUCAGUGCUUUAAAAGAGAAACAUGAAGGAUUGUUUUUAUUGCUGUGGCUGAAGCAAUGAAAACUCAUUUUCGUUUUGGGCCAAAUCAAGAUCCUGAAUGCUCUUAAAGGGCCGGUUGUGCCAGAAUUUACUGAUGAAACCUGUUUACAAAACUGAUAAAAUAUCAAUGAGUUCUUAAAAUUAAACGUUACUGAAUAUCUUUUCAGUCCCUCCAGGAUUUCGUAAUUCUUUUUGUGAUUUUU